rnacentral:misc_RNA from 1 species
AACGCACAUUGCGCCCUUUGGUAUUCCGAAGGGCAUGCCUGUCUGAGCGUCAAUAAAUCUAUCAAACUUUUUUGUUUGGUGUUGGAAGAAGUAAUUAUUUUUUUGUUACUCUUCUGUAAAGUAUUGGCGAUGCUGUUUUAGCUUGUAAGAUGUAGUAAAUAUUUUCUCAUUGAAGCAGCUAUUCAUGUAUUUGCCAACUAAAAGAUUUAUUUUCUUUAGCUUGACCUCAGAUCAGGUAGGGAUACCCCCUGAACUUAA